GCCCCGCGGGCGGCGCGGAGCGGGGACGGCCCCAGCCCGGAGCUGGUGGCAGGAGAUACCAGUGAACUACCUGCUGUCCACCACUUUCUUCAUUUAACUUCCCCUUGGGGUCAGCUGGUCAUCAGGAUGCCUUCAACCAAGAACACCUCCAAGCUUUUCCUGAUCCUCAUGUCACUGCUGCUGGUGCUGCCGGUAGUUGAAGCCCUGGACGCAGGAGAUACCAUUGCCUUCCUCCUGGGCCUCGCUGUCAGUGUCAUCGGAUUCUGCGCCUGCCUCGGCUUGUAUGCAAGGAGAAGGAAUGGGCAGCAGUGACUUCAAGAAAAUGCUCAGAUGAAGUGAAUUUCCAAACACAGCUUGGGGUUGGGUGUAAGACUGAGCUUUGGUUCUGGAUAACUUUCAAAAAAUAUGUAGUAGAUAUUUCUGCAAACCUCUCUUACUGUUCAGUACAACAGAGUCAGGACAGUACCCAGUAAAAGGGAUUCAUAUGAUCUAUCCUCAUUCCAAAAAGAUAAUUUUAUAUUGUCUGUGGUUAAAUACUGCCUUAGAGAAGGGUGAAAACUUUCUGAAUGGGGAAGUAAAACUAUAGAGUGGCUCAGAGUAAAAGUUUAUAAAUUUAGCAUGUGAGGGAGGCCAUCAACAAGUUCUGUAAUUUUGGUUUCAAUGGUUAAUCAGGAGGACACAGCUAUUAAUCUUCCAGUCAAGAUGACAAGAGUUUUUAAAUUAGUCCUAACUAGAUAGCUAGUGAGCAGACUGCUCUAACUUCUGUGUUCACUCUCACAUUCUCUCUAAUGACAGUUAACACCUAACAGCUCACUUCUGCUGUCACAUGGAUGAGACUUUAUAGAACUAAGGAAACAUAAAGGCUUUUUUUUCGUUUAGAAUAUUUUUAGAGUAUUUUUAUUUUAGAAUAUGACGUUCCUGUAGCCUGUGUUCUUAUUACCAAGUAGAUACAACUAAGAAUGAGAUCACCAUUUUUAUUUAAUAUGUACUUCACAGAAAAGUGCAUAUAAGGCUAUAUAAAUCAGAUUAGGGAUAUGGGCUUUGUCUCUUGUUUAUUUUUUGUACUCAGCUUUUUCUAGGCACAUCGGGUUUAAGGCUUAGUUCAUUUGGUGUUUGUACCUUUUUCUUCAAAACUGAAGACUUAACUACUUUGAUGAGGAAUUCUGCAUAUUUCUGCAUUAGAAGGUUAUUAGAAUUAUAACAAGACCAUUGUGCACAUGUGUUUUUUUUACAAUGUAGAAAGAACUUGUUAAAAUCCUGGGUUUAGUCAAUUACUGCAUUGUUCUUGAGUGUAUUCCUUGUGACAAACCUAUGUUGCUAGCUAAACAUUUAAGCUUCUCUAACUCAUGCAUAUGGCUUCCACAGAUUAGGACCAAAACCAAAGUAAAAUAUCUUGGUGCAAAAUGGGAGAUGUAAGUAGUCUUAUUCUGUUCAUGCUCAGUCAGAUUGUGUGGAAUAUGGUUGAAAGACAGUGGUGUGUCUAGGACCUGUUUCUUAAGUACCAAAGGUAAAAUGGUUCAGCCAAGAAUGUCUGCCACAAGUCUCUCUGACUUAGGGUGUUUUAGCUUGAGCUAAGCAGCACAAUCUGUAACGGCAGCAGAGGAGCAUAAGAAGGAGCAUAGGAAGAUGAACUCUCCACACUUCACAGAAUUUCCUUCUGAUUUUGUGCUGUCACUGCCAGUCUUUGCUAGAAAUCUUGGCUUUUAUCUUUCAGAGUUACCUAUAUUGAUACUAUUCUUCCACUUCCUCUGUGUCUCUGUUCAGUAGAGCACAAAGCAAUGGCUAUGGGCAGGUCUUAUGUAAGUAAUUGGGCGGGCAGAUCGUGUUCUCCAGAUCCUGAUUUCUGCAUGCCAUUUUUGGCAAAAAGGGACACAAUGUACAAUUACUAUGUACAAAGGAAAUUUACAGCCCUAAGAGGAGCUUCAGACAGAAGUGUCAUCUUUGAAAGCUGCCUAGCAGCAGUAGAUGAUCCUGUACAUGAUAAUUCAACUGGGUUGGGUGCAAGCACAGAUCGCAGUGUGAUCUUUGAUGUUCCAGCUUAGCUAAGCAAAAAAAAAGCAAAAAGCAAACAAAACAAAAAUAACGAGUAAAACCUCCCACAAAAUUGCCACUCAAUUCACUAUAGUUCUCAAAGUUAAAAAAAUUUUGUCAUAUUUUCAGUAAAAUAUUAAAUAUUGCUCUUCCAAUAGAAUAACAAGCAGAUAACACAAGCAGAUUUUCACAGACUCCUUUAUCUACACCUUGAGAAUGAUCCCUGGCAAUAGUUGCACGGAAUCGGGCAACAGUUUCACUGCAGGAAAGCAAAAUUUUAACAGAGUUAAUUAUUUUCAGGCAAUAGGAAUGUGAGAAAUUGUAUUAUUUGCCCAAAGCUGUAUGUACUUCAUUGAAAGGUGUUUGCACAGCAUAAUAGCUUUAUUUCUUGGGUUCUGAUAGAAGCUUUAUUGUUAAAGACUUGAGUUUGUCAAUUACCUGAGUGUAAAAUCAGAUACCUCUGUUCUUCCUCUAUCUUAAUAAACUUUGGCGUAUGAUUUGUCAUCA